rnacentral:rRNA from 1 species
AUUGAACGCUGGCGGCAUGCCUUACACAUGCAAGUCGAACGGUAACAGGUCUUCGGAUGCUGACGAGUGGCGAACGGGUGAGUAAUACAUCGGAACGUGCCCGAGAGUGGGGGAUAACGAGGCGAAAGCUUUGCUAAUACCGCAUACGAUCUCAGGAUGAAAGCAGGGGACCGCAAGGCCUUGUGCUCACGGAGCGGCCGAUGGCAGAUUAGGUAGUUGGUGGGAUAAAAGCUUACCAAGCCGACGAUCUGUAGCUGGUCUGAGAGGACGAUCAGCCACACUGGGACUGAGACACGGCCCAGACUCCUACGGGAGGCAGCAGUGGGGAAUUUUGGACAAUGGGCGCAAGCCUGAUCCAGCCAUGCCGCGUGCAGGAUGAAGGCCUUCGGGUUGUAAACUGCUUUUGUACGGAACGAAAAGACUCUGGUUAAUACCUGGGGUCCAUGACGGUACCGUAAGAAUAAGCACCGGCUAACUACGUGCCAGCCGCCGCCGUAAUAC